rnacentral:pre_miRNA from 1 species
GACGUGGUGCUCUAUUCUCUGGGCUCUGACUCAAGACCUCUGGGUUCUGAGCUCUGAUGUGGCUGCUCGAGCUGGGAUCUCUGGGGUUUUGGUUCAGGGUCACGGUCUCUGGGUUCUGAG